GGAAGGAUCAUUCUCGAAAAGAAAAGCAGGUUGCGCAGAGAUGUGCAGCGAUGUUUUGUAACUGGUGAAGCGGAUAGAGACACACUCAUUCACAUUCAACAUGAACAACAAUUGAAUCAAAACAACUUACUUACAACUUUCAGCAACGGAUGUCUUGGGUCUGGUAACGAUGAAGAACGCAGCGAAAUGCGAUACGUCACGCGAUACGCAGAAUCAGUGAAUCAUCAAAACUUCGAACGCAUAUUGCACUUCUAAUCUCUGAUUGGGAGUAUUUUUGUUUCAGUGUGUUUUACCAACACUUGCUGCUUGCAGCAGUCUCUCGGUGUUUCUGUUAUUCUAGAUAUUCUAGAGUAUCACCGGAAAACGAAUUAUCUCUCUCUAUGCAUGCUUGCUUGCUUGUCAAAGAUGAAAGCCAUUUUAGACGCGCUUCGCAUGCUUAGAAGUAUUGGAGUAUCAAUCAAUCAUCAAUACAACACCUGAAAUCAAAAAAGAAAACCCGCUGAAUUUAAGCAUAUAAUUAAGCGGAGGAAAAGAAACUAACAAGGAUUUCCAUAGUAACUGCGAGUGAAGUGGAAAGAGCUCACACUUAAAAUCUUUUGCGCGCAUCAAGUGUAAGAGAAUUGUAGUCUAGAGAAUGCAAGGCCAGUGCUUCUUGCGAAUAAAGUUAUCCUGGAAAGGUACUGCCAUUGAAGGUGAAAGCCCUGUUCAAUGUUUGCAAGCGUAACGAGUACGUACGGCGUGUGUUCGACGAGUCGGUUUGCUUGGGAGUGCAGACCAAAGUGGGAGGUAAAAUCCUUCUAAAGCUAAAUAUUGACCAGAAACCGAUAGCGAACAAGUACCGUGAGGGAAAGAUGAAAAGAACUUUGAAAAAAGAGUGAAAAGUACCUGAAAUUGCUGAAAGGGAAGACGUUGAUCUUUGUGUUUGUCGCAGUAAAGUUUGGUAUUAUGCAUGCAUGGUAUUGCGCUUUAUGGACAAAGUUUAUAUGGUUUCUUCCUGGAACAUAUGGUUUGCGGGUAGGUAGGUUGUUAGCUCAACUGUUUAACCCGCGAAAUUCUGUUCUGGGAGGGAGCGAGGUGAUUUUCUUCUUUAUGCAUUUAAGCCUUGAUUGGCAUUCGCAUAGACAUGGAUAUAAACGAAAAAGGAUUAACGGCCCCGUCUUGAAACACGGACCAAGGAGUCUAGCAUAUGCGCGAGUAUUUGAGUGGAAAACUCUUAUGCGUAAUGAAAGUAAAGUGCUUUUUAAAAGGCAUGAGGUGGGAGCACGGAAUUAACGUGUGCACCAUUGACCGAUCAUGAGCCUCGGCGAAAGAUUUGAGUUAGAGCGCAGAUGCUGGGACCCGAAAGAUGGUGAACUAUGCCUGAAUAGGUUGAAGUCAGACGAAAGUCUGAUGGAGGACCGUAGCGUUUGUGACGUGCAAAUCCAUCGUCAAAUUUGGGUAUAGGGGCGAAAGACUAAUCGAAUCAUCUAGUAGCUGGUUCCCUC
rnacentral:misc_RNA from 1 species